GAACGAUGUAACAUAAUGCCUAAUGGAAUCAGUAGUCCAAUCGGGAAGGAGAUGGCUGUGGCUUUGGGCCUCACAAAAUACCCAAUUGAUCUCCGUGAAUCAAGUCCCUCUACAUUCAUUGGAAUGUCCCUAGCCCAGCAGUCAACACCAUGUUGAAGAGCUUACCAAAUACUACUCC